rnacentral:RNase_P_RNA from 1 species
AGAGUCAGCUGGGCAAUUGCUGUAGAUAGCUCUUCGUUUAUCGCAUAGCGUUAGAUGAGGAAAUUUAUAGAGGAAAGUCCGGGCUCCAUAGAGCAGAGUGCCAGGUAACGCCUGGGGGGUGAGAACCCACGGCUAGUGCAGCAGAAAAUAAACCGCCAGAUUACUUUCGAGUAUCAGGUAAGGGUGAAAUGGUGCGGUAAGAGCGCACCGCGUCUUAGGCAACUAAGAUGGCAGGGUAAACCCCACCGGGAGCAAGACCGAAUAGGCGAGAUCGCAAGUUUAACUUGCAGGCUGCUGUUCGCAGCUGUCACGCGGGUAGGUCGCUCGAGCCACCAGGCGACUGGUGGCCUAGAUGAAUGACUACACUCGACAGAACCCGGCUUACCGGCUAGCUAUUUAA